rnacentral:tRNA from 3 species
UCCUCGGUAGCUCAGCGGUAGAGCAUUCGACUGUUAAUCGAAUGGUCGCAGGUUCGAAUCCUGCCCGGGGAG